UACGAUGGGAGGGCUAGCGUUGUUCGGAAUUACUGGGCGUAAAGCGUGCGCAGGCGGCUUCCCAAGUCAGUGGUGAAAGCCCGGAGCUCAACUCCGGAAAUGCCAUUGAAACUGUGAAGCUUGAGAACGAGAGAGGUGAGUGGAAUUCCCAGUGUAGAGGUGAAAAUUCGUAGAUAUUGGGAAGAACACCAGUGGCGAAGGCGGCUCACUGGCUCGUAACUGACGCUCAUGCACGACAGCGUGGGGAUCAAACAGG
rnacentral:rRNA from 1 species